UACGUAGGGUGCGAGCGUUGUCCGGAAUUAUUGGGCGUAAAGAGCUCGUAGGCGGUCUGUCGCGUCGGUCGUGAAAACUUGGGGCUUAACCCUGAGCUUGCGGUCGAUACGGGCAUGACUGGAGUUCGGUAGGGGAGACUGGAAUUCCUGGUGUAGCGGUGAAAUGCGCAGAUAUCAGGAGGAACACCGGUGGCGAAGGCGGGUCUCUGGGCCGAUACUGACGCUGAGAAGCGAAAGCGUGGGGAGCGAACAGG
rnacentral:rRNA from 1 species